UGCGUAGGCGGACUAAUAUGUCAGUGGUGAAAUCUCUCGGCUCAACCGGGAAACUGCCAUUGAUACUGUUAGUCUUGAGUUUGGUUGGGGUAGGCGGAAUGUGUAAUGUAGCGGUGAAAUGCUUAGAUAUUACACAGAACACCAAUUGCGUAGGCAGCCUACUAGACCGACACUGACGCUGAGGCACGAAAGCGUGGGUAGCGAACAGGAUUAGAUACCCUGGUAGUCC
rnacentral:rRNA from 1 species